ACCAAAGUUAAAGAUUUUCUCUCGUAACCUUAAUUGCUAUAGAGAAUAGAACUGAAAAAUCUUCUUCAAACAAUACUACGGCAAACGAACUGCUCGAACACAAAUUAUUAGAGUUCUUACAGGCUCACUGAGUCAUCGGAAGUGUUUGCAGUCACGUGUGCACGUGGCUCUAAGUCGUGAUUCCACUUGCUAGUUAUAUUACAUUGUCUUGUUUAACUAACCAUUGUUAUCCACAUUAUUUCUUAAAAGUACCUUUGUCGAAUAGAAUUCUGGUUAUACAAGAUGUUUCUUUAUUAUUAUAGUGAACCGAUUUGGUAAAUAUGUUCAUGUUACUGGUUCACAUGUAUGUCGCUCAUUUUACACUGCUCCAAUAACUGACACCACUCAGCGGUCAGUCAACAAAGUAGUGUCGUACACCGUAUUUCAUACCAUUUCGAGAUUUAACUGCCUCCUGGAUGAUUCCCAUUCCGCGUUCCCAUUCACUUUGUGCACACACUCGUUAGUUACGAUCGUGCAGUGUAUCUCGCAAUGCUUGAAAAAUUGUGCAAGUAAAUAUGUACUUAUGUAUGCAUAUGUUGACAAUGUGCAGCGAAGACAAAAGAGUUACGCGAACGAAAGGGACGUUAUUUUUAGCAGGAGGAUCGUUCUGGUUUCCCGCGGAAUAGCUCUCUUGAAAUAAUCGACAAUUUUUUAUCUGUACGUAUUUUUAAUAAAUCUUUUUAUUAUUUUACUUUGUUCACUUUGUUAAAGAUCGAAUUUUUUUAGAUAGAACGCGUUGGUUUAGAAACAAAACUUUAAAACAGAAUAUACGGCGGCAGCAAAACCACGAGACCUAACAUGCUCGAAUGACGAUGGUGACUGCUUGACGAUACAGCUUAACUCGACAACCGAACCUCUCUUUCCCUCUCCAUUCCCGACACAGGAGGUAAACAUUGCG
rnacentral:misc_RNA from 1 species